UACGUAGGAUCCGAGCGUUGUCCGGAUUUACUGGGUGUAAAGGGUGCGCAGGCGGACUGGUAAGUCAGAGGUGAAAUCUCGUCGCUUAACGACGAAACUGCCUUUGAUACUAUCAGUCUUGAAUCCGGUAGAGAUCUGUGGAAUUCCGAGUGUAGCAGUGAAAUGUGUAGAUAUUCGGAAGAACACCAGUGGCGAAGGCGGCUCACUGGCCCGUAACUGACGCUGAGGUGCGAAAGCGUGGGGAGCAAACAGG
rnacentral:rRNA from 1 species